CUUUUAGUUCAUCCUCCAUGGUUUCAGGGACCCCUCUUAUCCGUAGAUUAUUUCGUCUUCCCCGAUUAUCGAUAUCAUCUAGUUUCCUUUGUAAGGAAAGAAUAGCUUCGGUCUGCGAUCUUUGUAAUUUCCAACAUUCAGUCCACUGAUUUUCAUUUAUUUCUUGAUUAUCUUCCAAUGCACAAACCCUAUCUCCUAAAUGAUGUAUUUCUGUGGUGACAGCUUUUCAUUUUUUACCAAAACCAUGUUCAAUUUUUUAAAACAUAUCAAUCAAAUCCGAUUUAGAAGGUAG